rnacentral:rRNA from 1 species
AUUGAACGCUGGCGGAAUGCUUUACACAUGCAAGUCGAGCGGUAGGGACUUCGGUCCUGAGAGCGGCGAACGGGUGAGUAAUGCAUCGGAAUGUAUCCUGUAGUGGGGAACAACCUAGCGAAAGUUAGGCUAAUACCGCAUACGCCCUGAGGGGGAAAGCGGGGGACCUGUGAGGGCCUCGCGCUAUUGGAGCAGCCGAUGUCAGAUUAGCUAGUUGGUGAGGUAAAAGGCUCACCAAGGCGACGAUCUGUAGCGGGUCUGAGAGGAUGAUCCGCCACACUGGGACUGAGACACGGCCCAGACUCCUACGGGAGGCAGCAGUGGGGAAUUUUGGACAAUGGGGGCAACCCUGAUCCAGCCAUGCCGCGUGAGUGAAGAAGGCCUUCGGGUUGUAAAGGCUCUUUCGGUCCGGGAACGGAAAUACGCACAGGCUAAUAAAGAGUGAGGUUGACGGUACCUUGAUAAGAAGCACCGGCUAACUACGU